CAAUUUCCUAGAGCCUGAAGGGUGUUCAGAGAUUCAGGCAGCACUGUGCCAGCACUGACACUGGAUCCAGAGUGACAAAGGUGCCCAGGAAACUGAUAGCAAGAAAUUGAAGGAAUUAAUAUUGUCCUGAUAAUUCUGAACUGCCACCAGAAAAUGAAGGGGAGAAAACAGCUCCUUGCUGAAGAAAGGGGUCAGGGAAGUGCUUCCAGUUCCUGUUCUUCACAUCACAGGCAUAAUUUGGCUGGAGCUGAGAAAAUCACUUUGAGGCAUUGCAAUAUCAAGAUCAAAUCUGGGAGCAGGUGCCAUGAUCUCCACUGUCAUUGCACAGAGGCUGGGAACAGUUCCCUGGAGACAGUGAUGACUUGCACAUCGAGACAUGCUCUCAUCCAAAGUUUCAGACUUGUAGGAUAUCCUAGGUAAAAAGUAGACUAACACUUCAUGCUAAACAGUGGCCAUUCCUUAUUUCCCAUUAGUACUUCCCUUGGCAGUUUUAUUGUGAGGCCACUUUAUUUAAAGAAUAGGCUUUUUCAGUUGAACUGC